AGGACUGGGAUGGGGGCAGGAGGAGAAAGAGGGAGGGUGACUGCUCCUCAGAUGUGUGUUUACUGGGCUACUAGCCUGCCUCAAGUGGUUGCUGACCGCUGAGCUGACAUGGGCACGUCUGAAAGACCUUGCAAUGGCUGCAGAAAUUGCCCCUACAUCUCCAAGGCUGCGCUUCUCAUAUACACUGCCGGUUAAGAAUCCCCUGAGUAGCUUUUGAAACAUCUCAGGGCCUGGACACCUCCUCCAGAGGGUCUGUUUUAAUUGAUGGUGGUGGAGGGGAGGUAUGGGUUGGUUUGUUUGUUUUUUAGGCUCCUCCAAGUGAUUGUGUUGGACAGCCAAGUUUGACCACUGUCCUGAGGCACCUGCCUUCCAUUCUUUAGUAAACAUGACCACAAAAGGCUGGGGGCGGGGAGUGGAGUUCAUCCAGCUCCCAAGAACUCUCAUCCUUGCUAACCAAACCAGUUUUCCCCACUCAGGUCCAAAUUCUUGGAAGAAUUAAAAGCCAGGGGGUGGUGCUUGAGAAGAGACUAGGGUGGGUUCUGUUGGAUGUUGAGCGAGCAAGUAUACUAAAGAGUACCACAUUUUAUCUUGUCAGUGUUCUGCUUUCGUGCUGUUCCCCCUAAUGUCUUUUUAUCCUAGUCUCAACGCCAUGAUGUCAUCAUAUUAGCUAGUAAUACAAAUUGACAAAAAGGUGAAACUGCUGGAAAAUGUGCUCAGAGGAAGAAAUUAUUCUCCUGUCCUUACUCUCCCUGCCACCAGCUUCAGUUCGGUUCCUUUUCAGGGAAAGGAGGGAAUUCCUUGUUCGUUGCAAGAAGACCCCAUGAGAUGUUUAUAUGAAUGCUACAUUUAUUAAUUACAGGAAGAGGUUUACUAUUUAAUAGGCCAAAUUUCUGAGGAGGAAGUGAAAAUAACCAGCAACGAUACUAACUAUAAACUAUCUCCACUUGCUGGAUUAAGAAAAGAUACAUCCACUGCUGAGUUUCUAAUCUACUGUGGUUCACUAUACUGCUUGAGCCUACGAGCUCUCCUGUUUGUUUUUUCAUCUGUGAUUUUCUGGAACCAUUUAACAGGCUAAAGGAAGGCUUUAACUCAUGAACAUUGCGUCCACAAUAGAUUCGUAAGCAGAGAGUUAACGAGGCCAAAUAGGCCAUUUUUUUCUGGCUGGAUUUAACCCUUGAGCUGUCACCUGUGGUUCCAGAUGGCCACGUCACAUUAUCUUUCCUCAUCCCUGAAAACCCCCUGCACCAAACAGCUUUGAUUACCGUCUCCAUCUAUUUCUGUUGUCCUAAAAGGAACAAAUGUGGCGAAUUAAAGAAGUGGGUAAACACUAGUAUGAUGCUGCAAGCAAGUACGCAUGUGCGUGUACAUGCACGUACAUGCAAACACACACACACACAGACACCCCACCUGAGCAGUGUCAUCACUACAAUCAAAUCCUAUGGUUGGCCCACCAGGGAAGGUAACCCUAAGGUUCUUCUGAAUUAAAAAUAAUAACAGCUGUGAUUCUGGGAACAGAAGAGGUAGACAAUGAGCUGGAACAGGAUGCUGCCCCAGGUGCUUAAACAUUUAGGUUGGACUCUUGAACCACAUUCCCUCCUACUUCUUCUGAGCUUCUGUGAUCAAACCCUGAUCUAUCAGGUUGCCCUGGAGCUCAGAUCUCCCUCCUGUGUUUCCAGGUUGCUUCCCCUGCCCCUUCUUAUAUCCUGUUCAUCCUUCACAGAAGCUCAAGACACAUCUUCUUCCAGAAAUUUCCCUGGCUGCUUUAGCCCCAGAGAAAUUUCUUCCUCCUCAAAUUUUGGUCAUGCUUAUAAUCUAGCCAUUCCACUUUGCCACUUUUGUUACAUCCAGCUUUUCUACUUUAAUGCAUAGUUGCAUCCCUAAGAGAUUAUCAUUGUGGAAAAUGUUGUUUAAAAAGCAAUUGUUUUGUUGGGGAAAAUAGAAAUUAGAGGGCAGAGAGCUUCCGAAUCACAGGAACUGAUUAUAUUUUCUGUACUCAUUUAAGAAUAAUAGAUGAUUGUAUAUAGCUAUGAAAUAUAAAUAUCACUGAACAAAUCCAGUAUCGGAAUAAGUUUAACCUCUGCUCAAGCCAAGUCCUUUGUCUUUUUAUACACAUUCUUAACACUUUUUUUUCAUUCAUUCAAUAACUCAUUCGUUCAGCAAAUAUUUCUUGAGCUCCUACUAUGUGUCAGACACUGAUCUAGAUGCAAGUGUACAACAGUAAGCAAAAGAGAAGAUUCCUCCUGCCACUGAAUAGACAUUAUACCAGGGCAAGUAAACAAUUUCAGACAGCAAUUAGUACCAUGAAGAGAAAUAGGCUGACAGACUAGAGAAUGCCUGGGCAUGUGAGUAAGGGAGCAAGCUUAGCGAGCCAAUGGAAUAUACAAAAGGUAACAUGCAAAGCCACUCAGACAAAAAGAUUCCAUCGCAUGUACAACAGGGUUUUGUUUUGCUAUAUAAAUCGAAAUUGCUACUCUUGAGACUCUGCUAGCUACCUAGCUUCAUUUUUAACACUGAAACUGAAGUAUGACUUCAUGCAGCCAAGUGCAGGAUCAGUGUGCAGCUCAAUAAAUUUUCUCCAAGUGAACAUACCCAUGUGUCUACCCUGAUCAAGAAGUUGAACAUCAUUGUCCCCCAUCCCCUAGAAGACCCCCUCGUGCCCCUUUUCAAUGACUAACACCCUUCCUUUUAUUAGCUUAGCCUGGUUUUUAUAUCAGUAUAAAUGAAAUCCCAAAGUAUUAUUUGAUACUCUUUUACUGACUACAAGUUAUUUCUCUACUAUGCAUUUGACUGUGGGCAUUCAAUUAUUUCCAGUUUGGGACAAUUAAAAAUAGUGCCAUCAUGAACAUUCUAGUUCCAGUCUCUUGGUCCAUAUAUGUAUAUAUUUCUGUUUAUUAUGUAAGGUGUUUUAUGUCCAGCUUUAGUAGAUACUGCCAAAGUAGCUGCACUAACUUAUGGUACAACUGUGGAUGUUUCCUCACUCCCUUAAAGUUGAUCUACAAAACUUCGUAGUGUUAUAUAAGAAAACGUACCAGUUCUUUUUUUCCCUUAAAGAUAGUGUUCUAUACGGCCUUUAAAGAAAUCCUUGUCUACAGAAAUCCUUGUCUAAAGAAAUCAGCUGCGAGUGGCAGGGGCUACAAAUUACCCCACUGACGUUUCUCUUGGGAAAGAGGUUCAUGAGAAUCCUCAGGGUAUUUCUUCCAGAAGUUAUAUGAAGUGAAUCUUAGUGGUACAUGGGGUGGACUGUAGAGGACAUUGCCAUUGGCCAGGCCUUGUGUUGGGACAUAUAUCUGGCCUUGUAACAUAUAUCUACACCUAGUUCUCUGAGCCUUUAUCCCUUUCUUCCAUUAUCUAUGUAGUGAUUCCUCACUGUGGCAUUUCUGUCUUCAUUGACUUUUCUACUUCAUUUAAUGUAGGCUAUUACUACUUCCAUGCCUGUAGAAGCCACUCUAACAGUGUGUUUGCAUAUCUUGUAGGGACUUUGCCAGGAUGUUACACUCUAUAUCUUGACAGAAUCUUCACAAAUCAAUAAACUCUGUUUUGUGGAAUCUUAUGUUUUGACCAUAGCUCCAGCACCCUCAGACUAUAGUCCCAUGCAUGUUUUCUGGCUCCUGUUGGUACAUGUUGGCUAUAUCCUGCUUCUGCUUUCACGUCUAGCCAUUUUUCCUCUCUCAUGAGGCCCAGUAUAGCCCUGCCAGAUCAUCUUGGACUUGACCCUUGUUAUUUACUGGCUUAUUGGCUGAAAGGAAACUAGGGGCAGAUCCUGGGCAGGGGGAAAAUAUCUGCAAUCUUCAAAUAAGGGGAAGCAGUCCAUUAAGGGACGUGCACACCAUUUGUAGAGGUUCAGCGGUUCAGAGGAAUCUUAAGAUUCAAGAUUUUAGUCUGCUUUAAUUCUCUUCUUUCCUGAUCAGGGCCAACACAUCACAAAUGUGCUGUCUUAGUCUGUUUGGGCUGCUGUAACAAAAUACCACAGAUGAGUGGUACUUUUACUUCUCAUAGUUCUGGAAACUGGAAAGUCCAAAAUCAUAGUGCCAACAAAUGUGGUGUCUGGUGGGAACCUGCUUCCUCUUACAGGGUGCCUUCAGGCUGUGUCCUCACAUGGCAGAAGGGAACUUGAAAGCUCUGUGGGGCAUGUUCUCUAGGAGCACUAUUCCUGGUCAUGGUGGUUCCACUCUCAUGGCCUAGCCAUCUCCCAAAGGACCCACCUCCAAAUACUUUCACUUUAGGGUUUAGUUUCAACAAAGGAAUUUGGGGGUGGCAGGAAGACACAUUUGGACCAUAAUUCAUGGCUAUGUUUCCAGUUUAACUUUUGGAGCUCCCUCACUCAUGAGAGUCCUGGGCUGUAGAAGAUGCAGACCUCUUUAUAGGCUACCAAGAAAGCCCCCUGGAUCUCGUUCUUAACUUUUAAUUGCCAAUUUAUCACUCUCAGCCUCUUGUUCUCUUUCUCCAAAGCAUCAGUGAAGCUUAGCGACAGCUAGCCAAACCCACUGUUCUUUGUGUUAUGGUUGCCACACGUCUCCCAAAUGCCUGUUGUUGUACCAGCUUGUAAAUUCCUUUCUGCCAGAAUGCUAUCCCAGUUUGCCACCAGUAACAACACUGAUUACACUGCUACCUCAUGCCAGGGGCUGUGUUCUACUUACCACCAACAAUGAGUCCUUCUUGCCAUUCAGGCAGCUGGCAGUUCGGCUCCAUGUUCACAUCUGCUUUCUCCACCCACUUCUCAUACCAACUGUUAUGGGUCUGGUUGCCCAAAAGCAGAAUCUGAGAUGAAGACCAGAAUGUGGAAGGCUUCUUAGUGCAGCUUUUGGGAUCAACACCCAUGGAAGGGAUAUGAGUGAAGGAGGACUGAACAGAGGGAGAAGCUAGAUUCUUCCAGACAAGGGGGUGUGGCCUUGAGCAAGAUUACCCUUUUUACCUGAGAAAUACUGGAGAGCUUCCUGCAGAGAGCCCUCAGUGGUACCUCACUUUAGAAUGUAAUAUAAUUUACCAUGUGAACUGAAUACAGAGUUCACAUGAUAAUCCCAGGGUUUUUUUUUUUUAAAGAAUUUGUCUGGAAACAGAUGUUGAAUUUAAGCAAAUGCAUCUUUUCUACCUAUUAAAAUAAUCAUAUAAUCUAUUGAGAUAAUUUUCCUGUAUUCCAUUCACAUGACAAAUUACAGUGACUUCAAAAUGUGAAACCCAGCUUAGAUUUCUUUUUACACACCUGUUGAUUUCAUUUGCUAGAUUUGUGGCAUUUGACUUUUAUGUCUAUAAAAUUUUUUGAGAGAUCAGUCUACAUAUUACCAUUUUGUAAUGCUUUAUCAUAUUUGGCUACAAAGGUUAUGCUGCUUUCAUAAAAUGAAUCAGAAAGUAUUCUCUCCAUUUGGAUAAGACUGGUAAUAUUUUUUCUUUAACCAUUUGAAUGAAUUCCUUGGUUAAUCCAUCUAAAACCAGAGUUUCUUUGGGAGGAUUCCUUUUCUUGAUUAGAUAUAGGACUAUUCAGAUUUUUUCUUUCUUCUUACGUCAGUUUUGGUAAGUUGUGUUCUUAUGAAUUUACUUAUUGCAUCUAAACUGUCAAAAGUUUCUAUUCAGAUUCUCAUCCUUUUGGAAGCCUUCUUCUAAACUUUCUACUUGGUUUUUCUACUCUUUGCCUUGAACUACUUUUGAAUUGGAAAUUGCUUUAAGUGGAAAAAUGAGUAUACUAUUAGACUUACUUCUAGACUUAUUUUCUUUCCCUCCAAGAUCUUGACCUCUCCAAUCUCCUUACCGUAGCAUCUCUCUAAUACUUUCAAAACCGUAUCUUUCUAAACUUUCCUCAGUGUUUCUAGUUGUUCUUAGCAGGAGGGUUGGUCUGCUCCUCCAUGAUAAAUGGAAAUGGAAGAACUUCCCAUAUGAUUAUAAUAAAUAUCUGACUGAUAAGUGCAAAUGGCAUUCUCUAAUUAACCUAUCUCAUAUUCAAAUAUUGUUAGGAAUAUUUGUGCUAGAUAAGAACACCUGUUUAUUCUUAUAUUGCACUCUAUUUGUCUCUCAUAUAACAAUCUUUUUAAAUAGAGUGACAAUGUAUCUGUCAAUGGAGAAGCAGAUUGGGAUCUAAGUACUGAAAGCUUAUUCAUGCAAUUUGAAAAUCACUAACAUUAUCAUCACUUUAAGCAUAUUAAAUGUUCUCAAUUAAUAUACUCUGUUACUAUCACUAUUAUUGUAAGUGCCUUGUUAUGUUUCUAUAAGAUAGCUCUCAGCAAAACAAUGAAGAAAAUUGUCACAGUAAUAUAAUUGGCUGAGAAUGACUUAGUUACUUACCAAAUUCAGCAAACUUUGUCUAAUGGACCAGCAAUAGUUAUGUAGAACUAAAUGCUUGAUUCUUUCUUACCUAAGAAAAUAAAAAUAAAAAAUAAAUAAAUUUUAAAAAAGAAAACUUAGGUUAUGAUCAUCACUACUUAUCUUAAUCUCCUUGUUAAAAUCAGAACUCAUCUAGUUUCAGACCAGACACCCAUAUAAAACAGUGUGACACAAUCAUAAAAUACAUAUUCUAGCAAAGAAAGGUUUAUGUAGCUAAAGCCAAGAGGUGAAAAACUAAUAAAUUCAAAAUUCAAUGAAACUGUCUAUCUUCUCUACUUAAAUACUUGAGAGAAAGGUAAAUUUUGAAGGAUAUAAACUCUUCCCAUUUGUCCAAAUAGAAGCCAACAUCAUUAGAUGGUUUCCUGCAUUUCUGUUUUGCCUUAGGAAGCUGCAAUGUCACACAACUCCAAAGAGAGAUUAUUAGCCAAAUGGCCAAUGAUUUUAAGAACCAAGCAUUUUAAGAACAACCAUACUUUCAGGAAUUAUGAUAGAUUCUGGCUGCAGGUGGAAACGAUAGUGGUAGGAAAUUUCAGCUGCUGGUUGCUUGGUUAUACUCUUCUCUAAAAUGUCUCUCGUUAACCUGAUCUCUCUCUUUAGAACUUUGCGUUUAAAACAAAGGCACACAUUCAAAGCAGGCUAUAAUUGCAAUCUUUCAGCAAAAAAGCAUUUACCAAAACAUGCCUUUCAGAAUGUGGUACAAUUUAUCACCCCCACGGUGCAUGACACACAAUUACAUUUGUCACCGCUUUAAUUGGAUAUUACAUGUCAGUAAUGACUCAUCAGCUCCAGAAGUUAUGAAAGAUAAAUUCCUUACUACCGAACCUCAGAAUUUGCUCCAAAAAUAAAGCUAAAAAAUCAUUUAUUUCUCAGUAAGGGUGGAAGCUACAUUUGGAAGAAACACUAAUCCCUGUUUCAGAAAAAUAACAAUGUAUUUCAUUUAUUGACAGCAAGAUGAUUGCCCACAGUGUUUCUCAUUACCCCUAGAUCACAAAUGAGUAAAUCACUGUCAGACAAACCAAGGUUAAAACUGAGUGUGUACAUUUUAACAAGGUGCAGCAAGUGAAUGAAUGAACGAAUAAUAAAUAAGUAAAUAAAUAAAUAAAUAAAUAAUAAAUAAAUACUUAAGGGCUCCAUCACUAGGAGAGAAUUACUAACCCAGAGAAUUUUUCAGAUCCUGUGAUCUGAUAGCUCUGCAACCCAGUCAAUGUUGGAAUUAAAUUAGGCUUCAGAAAAUGAAUAUUUCAUUUUUAAGAUUCUGUUGCUUGGAGACCUGAAAAGAGAAGGCUGGUUUAGCCCAAGACAAGAGAGAUGUUAUGAGGGCCAGCAUUUUCAACUCCUGGAAACUGCCAGAGAAUGCCUAGGAAAAAUUACACAAGAGAGAUGCAUCAAAAGUCAAACAGCAAAAGAUUAAGAAACCCCAGUGCCAUAUGGUUAUAGAUCCACAUCUUAUAUGUCAUCAAACUUCACUCUUCAAAUCAUGAUUUUAUUCUUUGAGGCUACGCAUAAGUUACUGGAAUCCAUAAAUGUUGUCCUAAUUUUGUGACUGCCAUUCUACACCAAAGGGUCAGUUCAAAGCAGCAGCAAAAUCAUACAAGAAAAGUGUUUUUUUCUGUGAUGAUUUCUGCUCAGCACGCAACAUGGAGGUUAACCACCUGGAAAAAAGAAAAAUAAACUGUAAUGCUAAGCCUGAAAAGCGUAUAUAUAACACUGUAAGAAUGACUGCUCUUUUCUGUACAUGUGAAUAAUGGAAAAUGAAAAGGUUGAUAUGCUAUCUGUUUAUAAAGUGAGGGCCAUCUUGCAGGCCAGGUUUGAUUAAAGAAUCAAUCUCAAUGGUCUAACUACAUCAUUUUAAAAAGAAAUCGAAGGGCGAGAGGCAGUCACUUCUAACUUUAGAGUGGGGCACUCUGGGAAUCCGCAGAGAUGAAUGGGAUGGCUACAUUAAUAGCGGGCUGUUUCCCUAUUGCCAAGACACCAAUCUGAUUGUUCAAGAUAAGGAACUCUCUUUGAAUGACUGAUGAAGAGCAAUUCUUCGUGACAGACGGAGACUUAAUUUUAACCGACUAAAACUACUUGCUGAAGAGUGCAGGAGCCAUUUCUGAGGUGUGAGACCGCAUGGGCAAUACACAUUUAAGGAAGAAUUUCUUUCAUGUUCUUUGGCACCAAAACGACUCCCAAGAAGCCAAGUGGAGAAUAAUCCCUAUGACAAAUAGGGACUGACAAGGGCCACCACAUCAAAAUUCUCCUCUCUUCAACUGCCACUCAUGAUUGAUUGACAGAGUCGAGAGUCCCUUUUGGUAGAGCCUCAAAGAUAAACUUAUUUUCAGUCUAAUAGCCAGUAGGAUUGUGUUCUAGCCUUUCUCAUGAUUGCUGGGCUCAUACUAAUAUUCCGUGUCCAGCAAGGACUAAGAGAAGCCUGUAAGGAAGAAAAGUAGCAGUAGGUUGCCUUGGAAAACUCUGUGCCCAUCAACUCAGAAGACACCUGCUACAAAGUGUCCCUGAUGGAGAGAGCACUUCACAAAAUCCGGAGUAUGUGCAGGAAGAGAUCCUCUAAUUCAGCCCUCUGUCUCGUGGUUAAAUAAUCACCAACAGGA